AUAUGCAAAGCAUGCAUCAGCCACAUCCAUGCUAUCUCCUAAAGCAGUCAUUCUGAAACCCAAUCUGGGGACAGUGCAGACUAAAUAAAAUUUCAUUUUGAUUUGGCCUCCCGCUGCGAAUGGGACUGCUUUGUCUCAGCCGACAGAACCAGCAAGCCAGAAAGGGAAUGAAGACAUUUGGAGAAGAAGCGUUUACUGAAAGGAGAUUCCUGGGCUGGAGGAAAACCAUGAUCUACAGUUCAUGUUGACAGAUAUUGUAUUUUUGGUCCUAGAUCUGACUUUUGAAAUGACUUAUCACAAAUUCAAAUUUAGCAAUCAUGAGUGAAGUACCCACGAUGUGCUAAGCAUCUACCUCUGCAGAUAGAAGAACACUUACUGUUCCUGAGCAUGGGAGGGAAUAGAAGUUCCUGGGUCCUGGCCUCACCUCAUCAGGCACUGCCAAAUUUGACACCUCCUUCCUGUUCACGGCAGUCCUUUGCGAUAGGGUAUUAGAUGCCACCAAGUAGCUGCAUAACUCACCCAUUUGGUCAGAGCCUGGGUCUAAGCCAGGUCUGACAGACUCCAAAGCAAGCCCUGUUUACAGCAUGACUGGGAUCCAGUGGGUAAGACCAACCUGUCAAUGCCCAAGUGCAGAUGCAAUAAUAGUGCUUCAACUGAUUGUUGCAAACCCCUCAUGAGGGAUGCCAAAUCCCAGUGCAGAUGGUAACACAGGCUAUUUUUCACCUCCAACCUCUAAUAUCCUUUCUUUCUUUCUUUCCUUUUUUUUUUUUUUUUUUUUUUUUUGAGAUAGAGUCUCCUCUGUCACCCAGGCUGGAGUGCAACAGCACGAUCCCAGCUCACUGCAACCUCCACCUCCUGAGUUCAAGCGUUUCUCUCGCCUCAGCCUCCCGAGUAGCUGGGAUUACAGGCACCCGCCAUCAUGUCCAGCUAAUUUUUGUAUAUUUGUAGAGACGGGGUUUCACCAUGUUGGCCAGACUGGUCUUGAACUCCUGACCUCAGGUGAUCUGCCCGCCUCAGCCUCCCAAAGUGCUAGGAUUACAAGUGUGAGCCACCACGCCCGGCCCCAAUAUUCUUUCUUACUAGACACUGUGUAAGCUAAUUAUUCAGCAAGUAUUUUGCACUGAACUCUAAAUAGGUAAGUAUUUUGUGUCCAUUUUACAGACAAGAGAAAUAAAAUAGGUAAAGUAUUUCCCCAAAGCUAUGAUAAAUGAAUCCCAUAGCUAGAAAUGGCAGAAAACCCAUGGAAACUUCUAUGGGGAGUGGAUGUCUGCCUUACCUUGGCACAAUGCUUGGUUCUCAGAUAUCAUUUCAGUGACAUUGCCAAAUGGGAGAAACCAUGUCUGGUACACGGGACUCAAGCUGCCUCAAAAUAUCCUGAAUGCAUUUUUUCAGGGGAGAAAAUCCAUUUGAAUAAGAAUAGCUAGUUAUAGCUUAUUAUGUGCCAGACACUAUUCAAAGUGUUUAAUGUGUAUUAACUUCUCAAAACCACUCUAUAAGUUAGGUACUAUGAUUUCCAUCUCCAUUUUACAGACGAGGGAACUGAGCUGUCAAAACUAAGUGACUUGAUUGAGGCCAUGCAGCUGGCGAGGGGAGGACCAGGAUCUGAACCCAACUGGGUCUCCCAAGCCUGGGCCACUGAACCAUUUCACCUCUUGGAAAAACUUAAUGGUCAGAGUGGCCCACCCAGUCCAUGGACAGCAUGGAGGUAAUGAACUUUAAUCAGAAACUUAUUGUGCAUUGACUGAGCAUUUAUUCUUUUAAGACAAUAUGUUUGGAUGUCUUUGGUUGUACAGAAUUCAAAUUAUUAAUAAUGUUCACAAAAGUUGCCCUGUAUUUUUAUGCUGAAAUACAACAAAAUGUCAACUUGGUUCCAGUGACCUUUAUACCGUACAUAUUAUGUUUAUUGUAGUUCUGUAUUGUAGCUAAAUUUAUUAUCUAACUUGUUGAUGCCAAUAAGCUGAUGCAUAUGAAAGGUACCUGCAAAAAAAUUAUCAUAUCAAAACACUUCAGAAGAAGCCAUAAAAGUAUUAUGAUAAAAUAUCAGAGGAAGAUAUAAAAUUGGGGGGAGGUGAAGUUAUACUUUGCAGCAUUUGCUCACGAUAUUUGAGAGAGUAAACUUUUCUGUCUUUU
rnacentral:lncRNA from 1 species